rnacentral:rRNA from 1 species
GACGAACGCUGGCGGCGUGCCUAAUACAUGCAAGUUGAGCGCUGAAGGUUGGUACUUGUACCAACUGGAUGAGCAGCGAACGGGUGAGUAACGCGUGGGGAAUCUGCCUUUGAGCGGGGGACAACAUUUGGAAACGAAUGCUAAUACCGCAUAAAAACUUUAAACACAAGUUUUAAGUUUGAAAGAUGCAAUUGCAUCACUCAAAGAUGAUCCCGCGUUGUAUUAGCUAGUUGGUGAGGUAAAGGCUCACCAAGGCGAUGAUACAUAGCCGACCUGAGAGGGUGAUCGGCCACAGUGGGACUGAGACACGGCCCAAACUCCUACGGGAGGCAGCAGUAGGGAAGCUUCGGCAAUGGACGAAAGUCUGACCGAGCAACGCCGCGUGAGUGAAGAAGGUUUUCGGAUCGUAAAACUCUGUUGGUAGAGAAGAACGUUGGUGAGAGUGGAAAGCUCAUCAAGUGACGGUAACUACCCAGAAAGGGACGGCUAACUACGUG